CGUGGUUUGGUGUAGCAGGACAGGAAGCUGGAGUUGGCAUUUAGUAUCUGGCUCCUUUCUUCCUUUUCUGCCUCUACCCUUUCUUCCUUUCCCAGCCAGCUGGCCAGCCAAUGUGUGCCAGGUACUGUGUUAAAUGAGCCAGAGAAGUGCAGUAAAAAGGGCUUUGGGGUGUGGUUCUGUUGGAAGAGUGCUUGCCUCUGGUGCAGAAAGUUCUGGGUGUGAGAUUGAGGUCAGGGAGGCCCCAGAGCUGGAUCUGAGAGUGAGCAGGGCGUAGCCAGAAGGAAAGGGAAACUAUACCAACUGGGGGGCAGCUGGGCAAAGACGAGGCUGCCUGCACAGGCCCUGGGCUCAGGCUUGGAUGAAAAUCCUGGGGUCACUGCUGACCUCUGCACAGACUCGAUGGUCUUUCAUCCCCUGAGUCUUGAUUGUCCCCAGAUCAGCACUACAAGGAGACUUCCUGCAGGCGUGACAUGAAGAUGCCGUGAGCUGAAGUGAGCAAAGUCGAAGCAUGGAGCCCAGGCCCAGUCAGUGAUCUGACCCAACACGACACCUCUCGGUAAUAAUGCACAAGUAAGGCAAAGAAUGAAAAGCUAACAGAAAAUUUGUGCCAGAAGAUGGGGUCAGUACUGUAACAUCCACGAGAGCAGCAGCAGAGGAGACCAGGAACCCUGGAGACACUGAUGAGUGACUCUGGUGAGAAUUCUGAGGACUGGAAUGUGACAGUCGAGGUGACGCUCGGGAUCAGAGCAGAGCGAUAACAGAACUGGGAACAGGAGCAGAGGCCAUCCAUGUUACAUACUUGGACAAGAAUUUGAGUGUUUCAUGUGUGUGUCCUGAGACUAGGGAAAGUCUAAGUUUAAAGGUGAUAGGCCAGCUGAUCAGGUAGAAGACAUUGCAGGGAGCUCAGGAUUCAGACUGUGACACGAGCCUUGCCGGCUGCCUUUAAGUUCUACAGCGGGAACUGGGAGCAAAGGCUGAGGUGGAAAGGUUUGAAAAGCAGGUGGUGUGUCCAGGAAAGGAGCGCAUCUCACUGCUGAUGAGAGGGUGUCGUUACUAACAAGGUCAGUGCUGCGGAAGAGAAGCCGUGGAGUUUAUAUCUGGACAAGAGGAGAGACGAUCUGAGGAAUCUCAGGAUCAGCACGACCUCACUCAUCCCAGGCUCAAGGGUAUAAAAGUGCAAACUCCAUUCGGAGACUUUCCUGAGUGUUGGAGAAGUGGCUCAGCGGGUGAAAUGCUUUCUACGUAGGCUUAAUAAUCAGCGGUAGAGCCCGGCAACUCCAUGGUACAGUCCACAGCUGUGCAGGAGUCAGAGAAACAACUGGGGUCUGGUAUGUGAGCAAGGACUGCACCAGACUCCAUCAGUGCCACACAACACCUGGCCAGAGAUGCAGCGACAGAGAGCAAGGAAACCGAGGCUUGAGAGGAACCCAGUAAAUCAACAGGACAUGAGCCUCGCCCCUUGGGUUCAGCAGAACCUUGAAAAGCCAUCCAUGUCUUUUGAAAUCUCAGAAGCAGGAAAUAAGCACUCGACUUCCCUCACCCUGUGGGCUCCUGAGCAUGUUGCAGGGAGGCCGACUGCAGGAGGAGAUUGCCCACCUCCACUCAAGAACACUCACGCUCGGCACUGGCCCAGCUCUAACAGCUGUCAACAGUAGCCAAUAGGGCAUGACUUGGGGUCCGGAGUCAGGGCUGGCUGUCACCGGCUCCCGUGGACAGCAUGACUCUGUUCCACUGUCCCUCCAGUCCACGGAUCACAAAGGGUGAAUGAUACAGUCGGACGCAGUUUCUGACAUCUGCCAGUGGUGCUGUUAAUCAGGUUGUGUGAGGAAGCAGCAGCAGGCAUGAGCUGUGGCUGCAGAGGAACUAAUCAAGGGGCGUUUCCUGGCGGUGGUGGUGACGCUUGCCUGUAAUCUCAGGACUCUGGAGACAGAGGCAAGAGGACCACCACACAUUUGAGGCCAGCCUGGUCUUCAAAGGGAGCUCAAGGACAGCCAGGAUUAGAGUAUGAAAUCCUGUCUCCGUACAAGGAGGAGGCAGAGCUGUCCCUUAUCACUGCUGUAAAAGUGACCACAU